GGGAAAAGCUCAAAUUUCAAAUCUGGCGGUCGGAAGGCCGUCCGAGUUGUAAUCUAGAGAAGCGUGUUCCGCGCUGGACCGUGUACAAGUCUCCUGGAAGGGAGCGUCAUAGAGGGUGAGAAUCCCGUCUCUGACACGGAGACCCAGGGCUAUGUGAUGCGCUCUCGACGAGUCGAGUUGUUUGGGAAUGCAGCUCCAAAAGGGUGGUAAAUUCCAUCUAAAGCUAAAUACUGGCGAGAGACCGAUAGCGAACAAGUACCGUGAGGGAAAGAUGAAAAGAACUUUGGAAAGAGAGUUAAACAGUACGUGAAAUUGCUGAAAGGGAAACGUUUGACGUCAGUCACGUCAGUCAGGGAUCAACCUUGCUUCGCAGCGGGUGCACUUCCUGGCGGACGGGUCAGCAUCAGUUUGGAUCGCUGUACAAUGGUGGAGGGAAGGUGGCAUUCCUCGGAGUGUGUUAUAGCCUUUCAUCGUCUGCAGGGAGCUAGACUGAGGAACUCGGCACGGCCCUCGGGUCUGUAGCCUAGGAUGCUGGCAUAAUGGCGUCAACCGACCCGUCUUGAAACACGGACCAAGGAGUCUAACAUGCCUGCGAGUGUUUGGGUGGAAAACCCGAGCGCGGAACGAAAGUGAAAGUCGAGACCUCUGUCAUGGAGGGCAUCGACGCCCGGACCGGAGUCAUAGACGAAGGAUCUGCGGUAGAGCAUGUAUGUUGGGACCCGAAAGAUGGUGAACUAUGCCUGAAUAGGGUGAAGCCAGAGGAAACUCUGGUGGAGGCUCGUAGCGAUUCUGACGUGCAAAUCGAUCGUCGAAUUUGGGUAUAGGGCCGAAAGACUA
rnacentral:rRNA from 1 species